rnacentral:rRNA from 1 species
CAAUAGCGUAUAUUAAAGUUGUUGCAGUUAAAAAGCUCGUAGUUGGAUCUCGGGUCCAGGCUGGAGGUCCACCUCGCGGUGGCUACUUCUUGUCCUGACCUACCAUCGGGUUUUCCCUUGGUGCUCUUGACUGAGUGUCUCGGGUGGCCAGAACGUUUACUUUGAAAAAAUUAGAGUGUUCAAAGCAGGCGCGUCGCCUGAAUAAUGGUGCAUGGAAUAAUGGAACAGGACCUCGGUUCUAUUUUGUUGGUUUUCGGAAGUCGAGGUAAUGAUUAAGAGGGACAGACGGGGGCAUUCGUAUUACGGUGUUAGAGGUGAAAUUCUUGGAUCGCCGUAAGACGAACUACUGCGAAAGCAUUUGCCAAGAAUGUUUUCAUUAAUCAAGAACGAAAGUCAGAGGUU